rnacentral:rRNA from 1 species
AUUGAACGCUGGCGGCAUGCCUUACACAUGCAAGUCGAACGGCAGCACGGGUGCUUGCACCUGGUGGCGAGUGGCGAACGGGUGAGUAAUACAUCGGAACGUACCUUAUCGUGGGGGAUAACGCAGCGAAAGCUGUGCUAAUACCGCAUACGCCCUGAGGGGGAAAGCGGGGGAUCGCAAGACCUCGCGCGAUUAGAGCGGCCGAUGCCUGAUUAGCUUGUUGGUGGGGUAAAAGCCCACCAAGGCGACGAUCAGUAGCUGGUCUGAGAGGACGAUCAGACACACUGGGACUGAGACACGGCCCAGAAUCCUACGGGAGGCAGCAGUGGGGAAUAUUGGACAAUGGGGGCAACCCUGUUCCAGCAAUGCCGCGUGUGUGAAGAAGGCCUGAGGGUUGUAAAGCACUUUUGUUGGGGAGAAUGGUAGGCUAGGUUAAGAGCUAGGUUUAUUGAUGUUACCCAAAGAAUAAGCACCGGCUAACUCCGUGCCAGCAGCAGCCGCAG